CCUACGGGUGGCAGCAGUGGGGAAUAUUGGUCAAUGGACGCAAGUCUGAACCAGCCAUGCCGCGUGCAGGAAGACGGCUCUAUGAGUCGUAAACUGCUUUUGUACGAGGGUAAACGCAGGGACGCGUAUCUGUUCGCAAGUACCUUAUGAAUAAGGAUCGGCUAACUCCGUGCCAUCAGCCGCGGUAAUACGGAGGAUUCAAGCGUUAUCCGGAUUUAUUGGGUUUAAAGGGUGCGUAGGCGGGCUGAUAAGUUAGAGGUGAAAUCCCGAGGCUCAACUUCGGAAUUGCCUUUGAUACUGGGGGGCUUGAGAGUAUAUGCGGUAGGCGGAAUGUGUGGUGUAGCGGUGAAAUGCUUAGAGAUCAUACAGAA
rnacentral:rRNA from 1 species